rnacentral:rRNA from 1 species
UAGGGAAUCUUCGGCAAUGGACGAAAGUCUGACCGAGCAACGCCGCGUGAGUGAAGAAGGUUUUCGGAUCGUAAAACUCUGUUGUUAGAGAAGAACAAGGACGUUAGUAACUGAACGUCCCCUGACGGUAUCUAACCAGAAAGCCCCGGCUAACUACGUGCCAGCAGCCGCGGUAAUACGUAGGUGGCAAGCGUUGUCCGGAUUUAUUGGGCGUAAAGCGAGCGCAGGCGGUUUCUUAAGGCUGAUGUGAAAGCCCCCGGCUCAACCGGGGAGGGUCAUUGGAAACUGGGGGACUUGAGUGCAGAAGAGGGGAGUGGAAUUCCUGGUGUAGCGGUGAAAUGCGUAGAUAUAUGGAGGAACACCAGUGGCGAAGGCGGCUUUCUGGUCUGUUACUGACGCUGAGGCACGAAAGCGUGGGGAGCAAACAGG